UUAAGCGACUAAGCGUACACGGUGGAUGCCCUGGCAGUCAGAGGCGAUGAAGGACGUGCUAAUCUGCGAUAAGCGUCGGUAAGGUGAUAUGAACCGUUAUAACCGGCGAUUUCCGAAUGGGGAAACCAGUGUGUUUCGACACACUAUCAUUAACUGAAUCCAUAGGUUAAUGAGGCGAACCGGGGGAACUGAAACAUCUAAGUACCCCGAGGAAAAGAAAUCAACCGAGAUUCCCCCAGUAGCGGCGAGCGAACGGGGAGCAGCCCAGAGCCUGAAUCAGUGUGUGUGUUAGUGGAAGCGUCUGGAAAGGCGCGCGAUACAGGGUGACAGCCCCGUACACAAAAAUGCACAUAUUGUGAGCUCGAUGAGUAGGGCGGGACACGUGGUAUCCUGUCUGAAUAUGGGGGGACCAUCCUCCAAGGCUAAAUACUCCUGACUGACCGAUAGUGAACCAGUACCGUGAGGGAAAGGCGAAAAGAACCCCGGCGAGGGGAGUGAAAAAGAACCUGAAACCGUGUACGUACAAGCAGUGGGAGCACGCUUAGGCGUGUGACUGCGUACCUUUUGUAUAAUGGGUCAGCGACUUAUAUUCUGUAGCAAGGUUAACCGAAUAGGGGAGCCGAAGGGAAACCGAGUCUUAACUGGGCGUUAAGUUGCAGGGUAUAGACCCGAAACCCGGUGAUCUAGCCAUGGGCAGGUUGAAGGUUGGGUAACACUAACUGGAGGACCGAACCGACUAAUGUUGAAAAAUUAGCGGAUGACUUGUGGCUGGGGGUGAAAGGCCAAUCAAACCGGGAGAUAGCUGGUUCUCCCCGAAAGCUAUUUAGGUAGCGCCUCGUGAAUUCAUCUCCGGGGGUAGAGCACUGUUUCGGCAAGGGGGUCAUCCCGACUUACCAACCCGAUGCAAACUGCGAAUACCGGAGAAUGUUAUCACGGGAGACACACGGCGGGUGCUAACGUCCGUCGUGAAGAGGGAAACAACCCAGACCGCCAGCUAAGGUCCCAAAGUCAUGGUUAAGUGGGAAACGAUGUGGGAAGGCCCAGACAGCCAGGAUGUUGGCUUAGAAGCAGCCAUCAUUUAAAGAAAGCGUAAUAGCUCACUGGUCGAGUCGGCCUGCGCGGAAGAUGUAACGGGGCUAAACCAUGCACCGAAGCUGCGGCAGCGACACUAUGUGUUGUUGGGUAGGGGAGCGUUCUGUAAGCCUGCGAAGGUGUGCUGUGAGGCAUGCUGGAGGUAUCAGAAGUGCGAAUGCUGACAUAAGUAACGAUAAAGCGGGUGAAAAGCCCGCUCGCCGGAAGACCAAGGGUUCCUGUCCAACGUUAAUCGGGGCAGGGUGAGUCGACCCCUAAGGCGAGGCCGAAAGGCGUAGUCGAUGGGAAACAGGUUAAUAUUCCUGUACUUGGUGUUACUGCGAAGGGGGGACGGAGAAGGCUAUGUUGGCCGGGCGACGGUUGUCCCGGUUUAAGCGUGUAGGCUGGUUUUCCAGGCAAAUCCGGAAAAUCAAGGCUGAGGCGUGAUGACGAGGCACUACGGUGCUGAAGCAACAAAUGCCCUGCUUCCAGGAAAAGCCUCUAAGCAUCAGGUAACAUCAAAUCGUACCCCAAACCGACACAGGUGGUCAGGUAGAGAAUACCAAGGCGCUUGAGAGAACUCGGGUGAAGGAACUAGGCAAAAUGGUGCCGUAACUUCGGGAGAAGGCACGCUGAUAUGUAGGUGAAGUCCCUCGCGGAUGGAGCUGAAAUCAGUCGAAGAUACCAGCUGGCUGCAACUGUUUAUUAAAAACACAGCACUGUGCAAACACGAAAGUGGACGUAUACGGUGUGACGCCUGCCCGGUGCCGGAAGGUUAAUUGAUGGGGUCAGCGCAAGCGAAGCUCUUGAUCGAAGCCCCGGUAAACGGCGGCCGUAACUAUAACGGUCCUAAGGUAGCGAAAUUCCUUGUCGGGUAAGUUCCGACCUGCACGAAUGGCGUAAUGAUGGCCAGGCUGUCUCCACCCGAGACUCAGUGAAAUUGAACUCGCUGUGAAGAUGCAGUGUACCCGCGGCAAGACGGAAAGACCCCGUGAACCUUUACUAUAGCUUGACACUGAACAUUGAGCCUUGAUGUGUAGGAUAGGUGGGAGGCUUGGAAGUGUGGACGCCAGUCUGCAUGGAGCCGACCUUGAAAUACCACCCUUUAAUGUUUGAUGUUCUAACGUUGACCCGUAAUCCGGGUUGCGGACAGUGUCUGGUGGGUAGUUUGACUGGGGCGGUCUCCUCCUAAAGAGUAACGGAGGAGCACGAAGGUUGGCUAAUCCUGGUCGGACAUCAGGAGGUUAGUGCAAUGGCAUAAGCCAGCUUGACUGCGAGCGUGACGGCGCGAGCAGGUGCGAAAGCAGGUCAUAGUGAUCCGGUGGUUCUGAAUGGAAGGGCCAUCGCUCAACGGAUAAAAGGUACUCCGGGGAUAACAGGCUGAUACCGCCCAAGAGUUCAUAUCGACGGCGGUGUUUGGCACCUCGAUGUCGGCUCAUCACAUCCUGGGGCUGAAGUAGGUCCCAAGGGUAUGGCUGUUCGCCAUUUAAAGUGGUACGCGAGCUGGGUUUAGAACGUCGUGAGACAGUUCGGUCCCUAUCUGCCGUGGGCGCUGGAGAACUGAGGGGGGCUGCUCCUAGUACGAGAGGACCGGAGUGGACGCAUCACUGGUGUUCGGGUUGUCAUGCCAAUGGCACUGCCCGGUAGCUAAAUGCGGAAGAGAUAAGUGCUGAAAGCAUCUAAGCACGAAACUUGCCCCGAGAUGAGUUCUCCCUGACUCCUUGAGAGUCCUGAAGGAACGUUGAAGACGACGACGUUGAUAGGCCGGGUGUGUAAGCGCAGCGAUGCGUUGAGCUAACCGGUACUAAUGAACCGUGAGGCUUAACCUU
rnacentral:rRNA from 1 species